rnacentral:rRNA from 1 species
UACACGACCGUACCGCAAACCGACACUGGUGCGCGAGAUGAGUAUUCUAAGGCGCUUGAGAGAACUCAGGAGAAGGAACUCGGCAAAUUGACACCGUAACUUCGGAAGAAGGUGUGCCUUUAGUAGGUGAACCUGUACAAGGGGAGCCCAAUGAGGUUGCAAAAAAUCGGUGGCUGCGACUGUUUAAUAAAAACACAGCACUCUGCAAACACGAAAGUGGACGUAUAGGGUGUGACGCCUGCCCGGUGCUGGAAGAUUAAAUGAUGGGGUGCAAGCUCUUGAUUGAAGUCCCAGUAAACGGCGGCCGUAACUAUAACGGUCCUAAGGUAGCGAAAUUCCUUGUCGGGUAAGUUCCGACCUGCACGAAUGGCGUAACGAUGGCCACACUGUCUCCUCCUGAGACUCAGCGAAGUUGAAAUGUUUGUGAUGAUGCAAUCUCCCCGCGGAAAGACGGAAAGACCCCAUGAACCUUUACUGUAGCUUUGUAUUGGACUUUGAACAGAUCUGUGUAGGAUAGGUGGGAGGCUUUGAAGUGUGGUCGCUAGAUCGCAUGGAGCCAACGUUGAAAUACCACCCUGGUGUGUUUGAGGUUCUAACCUAGGCCCGUAAUCCGGGUCGGGGACAGUGCAUGGUAGGCAGUUUGACUGGGGCGGUCUCCUCCCAAAGCGUAACGGAGGAGUUCGAAGGUACGCUAGGUACGGUCGGACAUCGUGCUAAUAGUGCAAUGGCAUAAGCGUGCUUAACUGCGAGACUGACAAGUCGAGCAGAUGCGAAAGCAGGACAUAGUGAUCCGGUGGUUCUGUAUGGAAGGGCCAUCGCUCAACGGAUAAAAGGUACUCUGGGGAUAACAGGCUGAUACCGCCCAAGAGUUCAUAUCGACGGCGGUGUUUGGCACCUCGAUGUCGGCUCAUCUCAUCCUGGGGCUGUAGCCGGUCCCAAGGGUAUGGCUGUUCGCCAUUUAAAGAGGUACGUGAGCUGGGUUUAAAACGUCGUGAGACAGUUUGGUCCCUAUCUUCCGUGGGCGCUGCAGAUUUGAGGAAGCCUGCUCCUAGUACGAGAGGACCGGAGUGGACACACCUCUGGUGUAUCGGUUGUCACGCCAGUGGCAUUGCCGAGUAGCUAUGUGUGGAAGAGAUAACCGCUGAAAGCAUCUAAGCGGGAAACUCGUUUCAAGAUGAGAUCUGCCGGGGCCUUGAGCCCCCUAAAGAGUCGUUCAAGACCAGGACGUUGAUAGGUCGGGUGUGGAAGCGCAGUAAUGCGUUAAGCUAACCGAUACUAAUUGUUCGUGCGGCUUGACC